rnacentral:rRNA from 1 species
GACGAACGCUGGCGGCGUGCUUAACACAUGCAAGUCGAACGCUGAAGCUUGGUGCUUGCACUGGGUGGAUGAGUGGCGAACGGGUGAGUAAUACGUGAGUAACCUGCCCUUGACUCUGGGAUAAGCCUGGGAAACUGGGUCUAAUACUGGAUACGACAUGUCACCGCAUGGUGGUGUGUGGAAAGGGUUUUACUGGUUUUGGAUGGGCUCACGGCCUAUCAGCUUGUUGGUGGGGUAAUGGCUCACCAAGGCGACGACGGGUAGCCGGCCUGAGAGGGUGACCGGCCACACUGGGACUGAGACACGGCCCAGACUCCUACGGGAGGCAGCAGUGGGGAAUAUUGCACAAUGGGCGGAAGCCUGAUGCAGCGACGCCGCGUGAGGGAUGACGGCCUUCGGGUUGUAAACCUCUUUCAGCACGUAAGAAGCGAAAGUGACGGUACGUGCAGAAGAAGCGCCGGCUAACUACGUG